GAGAAGGGAGGGAGUGGCGCGAACAUGGCGGAAGGCGGCUGGUGCGGCUCAACGUGCAGCGGGGUUCUCGGCAGGCAGGACCAGGUCUCCAACACUGGCGGCUGCAACUUUCCGGAACACCAGCUGCCCGAGCUGAGCACACCCACUUUCCUCGUGGGCGCCUUUGGGGGCUGUGGCGUGGCCGGCUGUGCGGGCCGGGGACCUGUCGCUGAGGGAGCCGCCAGCACCCGCGCUGCCCGGGCGUGGAGAGGUCGCGGACUCGGACCGGGAGGAUGCCGCCGUGGCGCGGGAUCCGGGCUGCAGUCUGCAGGCGGCGGCCGGGCUCAGGGCGAUGUGCGGGGUUAGACAGAAGUUCUUGGAACAUUGGGAAGAAACCAUUAUGAUAGAUCGUGUCUGCAGACAAGAAACAUUUGCUUUUGAGAUGGGCCAGUGGUUGUUGGAGUUGUUGGAACUAAAAUGCCUUGGUAUUAUCCAUUUGGAGACACUGAACACAGCCUCCCGGAGGGAGUCAACCAGCCAGAGUGAGAUGCCCGCAGUGGCACCGGAUGAAAGAUCUAGUCUUGCAAGGGACUCACUGGCGUGCUUUCCCACACAUGAUGUGGUUUACUCUGCCUGCUGCCUUCUAAAAAGUGCUCUUUAAAACCUUUUUCUUUUUACUUUCUAUUUGUCAAAUAAA